AGGACCUACGGGGGGCAGCAGUGGGGGAUAUUGGACAAUGGGGGGAACCCUGAUCCAGCGACGCCGCGUGAGUGAAGAAGUAUUUCGGUAUGUAAAGCUCUGUCAGCAGGGAAGAAAGAAAUGACGGUACCUGACCAAGAAGCCCCGGCUAACUACGUGCCAGCAGCCGCGGUAAUACGUAGGUGGCGAGCGUUGUCCGGAAUUACUGGGUGUAAAGGGAGUGUAGGCGGGAAAGCAAGUCAGAAGUGAAAACUAUGGGCUUAACCCAUAGCCUGCUUUUGAAACUGUUUUUCUUGAGUGAAGUA
rnacentral:rRNA from 1 species